AAGCAGAGGGGGCUUAGUGGUGGGGUGACUGCGUACCUUUUGUAUAAUGGGUCAGCGACUUAUAUUCUGUAGCAAGGUUAACCGAAUAGGGGAGCCGGAGGGAAACCGAGUCUUAAUUGGGCGUUAAGUUGCAGGGUAUAGACCCGAAACCCGGUGAUCUAGCCAUGGGCAGGUUGAAGGUUGGGUAACACUAACUGGAGGACCGAACCGACUAAUGUUGAAAAAUUAGCGGAUGACCUGUGGCUGGGGGUGAAAGGCCAAUCAAACCGGGAGAUAGCUGGUUCUCCCCGAAAGCUAUUUAGGUAGCGCCUCGUGAAUUCAUCUCCGGGGGUAGAGCACUGUUUCGGCUAGGGGGCCAUCCCGGCUUACCAACCCGAUGCAAACUGCGAAUACCGGAGAAUGUUAUCACGGGAGACACACGGCGGGUGCUAACGUCCGUCGUGAAGAGGGAAACAACCCAGACCGCCAGCUAAGGUCCCAAAGUCAUGGUUAAGUGGGAAACGAUGUGGGAAGGCCCAGACAGCCAGGAUGUUGGCUUAGAAGCAGCCAUCAUUUAAAGAAAGCGUAAUAGCUCACUGGUCGAGUCGGCCUGCGCGGAAGAUGUAACGGGGCUAAACCAUGCACCGAAGCU
rnacentral:rRNA from 1 species